UACGUAGGGUCCGUGCGUUGUCCGGAUUUAUUGGGCGUAAAGAGCUCGUAGGCGGUUCCGUAAGUCAGAUGUGAAAACUCAGGGCUCAACCCGGAGACGCCAUCUGAUACUGCGGUGACUGGAGUCUGGUAGGGGAUCACGGAAUACCUGGUGUAGCGGUGAAAUGCGCAGAUAUCAGGUGGAACACCGAUGGCGAAGGCAGUGAUCUGGGCCAGUACUGACGCUGAGGAGCGAAAGCGUGGGGAGCAAACAGG
rnacentral:rRNA from 1 species